rnacentral:rRNA from 1 species
AGAAUGAACGUUGGCGGCGUGGAUUAGGCAUGCGAGUCGUACGAGAACCCGCAAGGGGGAAAGUGGCGAACGGGGUAGUAAGGCGUAGGUGACGUGCCCUGCGGUCGGGGAUAGCUUAGGGAAACUUAAGGUAAUACCCGAUGACCCCACGAGGCUUGAAUGCCUUGUGGGCAAAGGUGUGAUUCCACCACAGGAGCGGCUUGCGUGGUAUUAGCUAGUUGGUGAGGUAACGGCUCACCAAGGCUGCGAUGCCUAGGGGAUGUUAGCGCAUGAUACCCCACCACUGGGACUGAGAUACUGCCCAGACACCUACGGGUGCUGCAGUCGAGAAUCUU